rnacentral:rRNA from 1 species
GACGAACGCUGGCGGCGUGCCUAACACAUGCAAGUCGAACGAAGCACUUCUGAAUGGAGAUUCGUCAAAGUUCAGAUUUGACUUAGUGGCGGACGGGUGAGUAAUGCAUGAGCAACCUGCCCUGCAGUGGGGGACAACAGUUGGAAACGACUGCUAAUACCGCAUGAUGUAUCUGGAAGGCAUCUUCCGGAUACCAAAGAUUUAUCGCUGUGGGAUGGGCUCAUGUCUGAUUAGUUAGUUGGUGGGGUAACGGCCUACCAAGACUGCGAUCAGUAGCCGGACUGAGAGGUUGAACGGCCACAUUGGGACUGAGAUACGGCCCAGACUCCUACGGGAGCAGCAGUGGGAAUAUUGGGCAAUGGGCGAAAGCCUGACCCAGCAACGCCGCGUGAAGGAAGAAGGUCUUCGGAUUGUAAACUUCUUUUAUGAGGGACGAAGGAAGUGACGGUACCUCAUGAAUAAGCCACGGCUAACUACGUGCCAGCACG